UACGGGGGGAGCAAGCGUUGUUCGGAUUUACUGGGCGUAAAGGGCGCGUAGGCGGUCAGCACAAGUCAGUUGUGAAAUCUCCGGGCUUAACUCGGAAAGGUCAACUGAUACUGUGCGACUAGAGUGCAGAAGGGGCAACUGGAAUUCUCGGUGUAGCGGUGAAAUGCGUAGAUAUCGUUUGGAACGCCAAUGGUGAAAACAGCUCGCUGGGGGUGUGCUGACGCUGAGACACGAAAGCCAGGGGAGCGAACGGG
rnacentral:rRNA from 1 species